rnacentral:rRNA from 1 species
CCUACGGGGUGCACCAGUGGGGAAUCUUGGACAAUGGGCGCAAGCCUGAUCCAGCCAUGCCGCGUGAGUAAUGAAGGCCUUAGGGUCGUAAAGCUCUUUCGCCAGGGAUGAUAAUGACAGUACCUGGUAAAGAAACCCCGGCUAACUCCGUGCCAGCAGCCGCGGUAAUACGGAGGGGGUUAGCGUUGUUCGGAAUUACUGGGCGUAAAGCGCGCGUAGGCGGACUAUUAAGUCAGGGGUGAAAUCCCGGGGCUCAACCCCGGAACUGCCUUUGAUACUGGUAGUCUAGAGUUCGAGAGAGGUGAGUGGAAUUCCGAGUGUAGAGGUGAAAUUCGUAGAUAUUCGGAGGAACACCAGUGGCGAAGGCGGCUCACUGGCUCGAUACUGACGCUGAGGUGCGAAAGCGUGGGGAGUAAACAGGAUUAGAUACCCUGGUAGUC